UAACCUCCCUUUCCUGGACCAUUUUCUUCUGGCAGCUGAACAGAAAAGUAAAAUGAAGAUCUCUGACAGUGCUGUAAUACCCUUGGGCUGACAGUUCCAGACUCAUGAACUGGCAAGGAGAUCAUGACAAUGUAAUAUGCCUUUUUGGGCACUAAUCUACACUUGUGCAACAGGAGUGUCAUCGCUGCAUGCCUUGGAACAUUUUAGGCGUAGGAGUCAAGGACUUGAAAGGAUUAGGCACUGGCAAUAAAUUUUGGCAGUGCCUUGGACUAGGGCAUGCUAAUCUGUAUGAUGCAUGCAGAUAGAAUAAACAUGGAAGAGAAGUCUUAAAAAGUUGAAGUCAUUUCCAUACAAAGGAGGAUUCUUGAUGAGGAUCUGAACUGUGGUGGAGAUGUCUCCAGGCUGACGCUGGUGUCUCACAUUGAUAAACAGCUGGAACAGGUGAGGCAGGAAAGACAUGGUGCAACUACAGCUUGAUUCCCAUUUUACAGAAGAAGCAUCAGCACAGAGGUGAAGCAGCUUUGCCUCAGAGCUACCUCAGCUCAGUACAUCUCUGAAAUGGAGCUGGAAACUGAACACUGACAUUCAGAGACCCAAGUCUGUGGCUGAAUUACUAGCCUGUCUUAUGUCGUGAGGAUUUAGACAAGAAUUGUCACUUGAUAAAGAAGAGGAGAAGCACUGUGCAGCAUUAUAUUCUUGCUUUGUGGUGAUUUUUGCACUAUGUGUUCUCAUCUAUUUACUCUCACCACC